ACUGCUCAGUAACACGUGGAUAACUUACCCAAGAGUCCGGGAUAACCCCGGGAAACUGGGGAUAAUACCGGAUAGGUCAAACUUGCUGGGAGGCUGUUUGGUUGAAACCUCCGGGGCUUUUGGAUGGGUCUGCGGCUGAUUAGGUUGUUGCCGGUGUAACGUACCGUCAAGCCUGUAAUCAGUACGGGUUGUGGGAGCAAGAGCCCGGAGAUGGAUUCUGAGACACGAAUCCAGGCCCUACGGGGCGCAGCAGGCGCGAAAACUCUACAAUGCAGGCAACUGCGAUAGGGGAACAUCGAGUGGCGUCCAUAUUGGAUGUCUGUCCUCCCGCCUAAAAAGCGGGAGUUAGCAAGGGCCGGGCAAGACCGGUGCCAGCCGCCGCGGUAAUACCGGCGGCUCGAGUGGUGGCCGAUAUUAUUGAGUCUAAAGGGUCCGUAGCCGGCUUUGCAAGUCUCUCGGGAAAUCCAGCGGCUUAACCGUUGGUCGUCCGGGAGAUACUACAUUGCUUGGGACUGGGAGAGGUAGGAGGUACUCAGGGGGUAGGAGUGAAAUCCUGUAAUCCUUUGGGGACCACCGGUGGCGAAGGCGUCCUACCAGAACAGGUCCGACGGUGAGGGACGAAAGCUAGGGGCACGAACCGGAUUAGAUACCCGGGUAGUCCUAGCCGUAAACGAUGCUCGCUAGGUGUCACAACAAUCGUGAAUUGUUUGUGGUGCCGUAGGGAAGCCGUGAAGCGAGCCACUUGGGAAGUACAACCGCAAGGUUGAAACUUAAAGGAAUUGGCGGGGGAGCAC
rnacentral:rRNA from 1 species